rnacentral:rRNA from 1 species
CUACGGGGCGCUGCAGUGGGGAAUUUUGCGCAAUGGGGGAAACCCUGACGCAGCAAUACCGCGUGAGUGAAGAAGGCCUUUGGGUCGUAAAGCUCUUUUCUUGGGGAAGAUAGUGACGGUACCCAAGGAAUAAGCACCGGCUAACUCCGUGCCAGCAGCCGCGGUAAUACGGAGGGUGCAAGCGUUGUUCGGAUUUACUGGGCGUAAAGGGCACGUAGGCGGCACAGCAAGUUAAGGGUGAAAUCCCGGGGCUCAACUCCGGAACUGCUCUUAAAACUGCUGAGCUAGAGAUAGUCAGAGGCGGGUGGAAUUCCAGGUGUAGAGGUGAAAUUCGUAGAUAUCUGGAGGAACACCGGUGGCGAAGGCGGCCCGCUGGGGCUAUUCUGACGCUAAGGUGCGAAAGCGUGGGGAGCAAACGGGAUUAGAUACCCUCGUAGUC